rnacentral:rRNA from 1 species
UACGUAGGGGGCAAGCGUUGUCCGGAAUCAUUGGGCGUAAAGAGCGCGUAGGCGGUCCGGUAAGUCCGCUCUGAAAGUCCGGGGCUCAACCCCGGGAGGCGGGCGGAUACUGCCGGGCUAGAGUCCGGAAGAGGCGAGUGGAAUUCCUGGUGUAGCGGUGAAAUGCGCAGAUAUCAGGAGGAACACCGAUGGCGAAGGCAGCUCGCUGGGACGGUACUGACGCUAAGGCGCGAAAGCGUGGGGAGCGAACAGG